rnacentral:rRNA from 1 species
AGUUGAUCAUGGCUCAGGACGAACGCUGGUGGCGUGCCUAAUACAUGCAAGUCGAACGAACUGUGGAAAGCUUGCUUUCAGAGUUAGUGGCGAACGGGUGAGUAACACGUAAGUAACCUAGCUAUUAGACGAGGAUAACUACUGGAAACGGUAGCUAAGACUGGAUAUGAUAGAAAUAUUUAAAGGAUGCUAAGGCAUCGCUAAUAGAGGGGCUUGCGGCGCAUUAGCUAGUUGGUAGGGUAAAAGCCAACCAAGGCGAUGAUGCGUAGCCGACCUGAGAGGGUGACCGGCCACACUGGGACUGAGACACGGCCCAGACUCCUACGGGAGGCAGCAGUAGGGAAUCUUCGGCAAUGGACGGAAGUCUGACCGAGCAACGCCGCGUGAGUGAAGAAAGUUUUCGGAUUGUAAAGCUCUGUUAUUAGGGAAGAAAGGCUCUAGGAGGAAAUGCUCAGGGAUUGACGGUACCUAAUGAGGAAGCCACGGCUAACUACGUGCCAGCCGCCGC